AUGUGCACAUUUACACUGAGCUCCUGUGUUCCCCAGGCUCCCGUGGCAGAUGGGGUUUGCCGAGAGGAUGCCCUGGAGCCUCGUGCAGGCCGGGGCUCACGUUUAGCACUUCCAACCCCCAGUGCUUCUAAAGGGCUGGAAGACUCCCUGCGCAGCUCCUCGCUGGCAAGGAUCCAGAGUCAGAUAUCCCAGGCUCCCGUGGCAGAUGGGGUUUGCCGAGAGGACGCCCUGGAGCCUCGUGCAGGCCGGGGCUCAUGUUUAGCACUUCCAACCCCCAGUGCUUCUAAAGGGCUGGAAGACUCCCUGCGCCGCUCCUCUCUGGCAAGGAUCCGGAGUCAGAUAUCCCAGGUAAGGGUUUGGAUUGAUGCCGAGCAGACUCGGGCAAGGCAGCAGGUCCGCUGCUGGCUCUGAUCUCACCUCUGGGCUGGCUAGGGGCAGGGGAUCCAGUGAGCUGGCUGGGGGGCAGGGCGGGGUUCCUAAAUGAGUUAGAUAUGUUCAUGGAGGAUAGGUCCAUCAAUGGCAGUUAGCCCGGAUGGGCAGGGACACAACCCUCUGCUCUGGGUGUCCCUAAACCUCUGACUGCCAGAAGCUGGGAGGGGACGACGGGAUGGAUCACGUGAUAAUCGCCCUAUUCUGUUCAUUCCUUAGGAAGCACCAGGCACUGGCCACUGCACCUGCUGGGCUAGAUGGACCAUAGGUCUGACCUGGUGUGGGGCAGUGGGAAUGUUGUGCUGUGUCUGUGAAUGCUGAGUGGGGAAUAUUGACCUGGGAAGGGUGCAGGGGAGUUUUGCUGGGACGGCCUUGAGGAAGGGAGGACACCUGAGCAUGUAACAGAGAACCCAGGAGUGAGGGUUGGAGGCCAGGUAACACCUCUGCCUGGGAAACGACAAGAGACACAAAGGCUGGGGGAGGAGCCGAGGGGAGGCUGAGCGAGGGGCUGGAGAGAGUUUCAGUUUGGAGCUGGCUGGGAGAGGGGUGCCCUGACCUGGGGCUGUGGCCUCCCCGGGGCCCAAAGAUGAACCGAACUAAAGGGGGUCUUGCUGUCUGUACCUGCAAGACCUGUCCUGGACUGUGUUCCUGUCGUCCAAAUAAACCUUCUGUGCUACUGGCUGGCUGAGAGUCAGGGUGAAUCGCAGGAAGUGGAGGCUGCAGGGCCCUGACUCCUCCACACUCCGUGAUAGUGUGUGUGUGUGGGGGGGUAGAGGUGUGGGGGGGUAGGGAUAGUGUGUGUGAGAGAGGGUGUAGGGGUGUAUGUGUGUGUGGGGGGGUAGCGAUGUGAGGGUGAGGGGUCUGUGUGUGAGGGUGAGAGGGGCUAGGUGUGAGGGGGUAGGAGUGCAGGGGGGGUAGGGUGUGUGUGUGAAAGAGGGGGUAGGGGUGUGAGGGUGAGGGGUGUGAGGGUGAGGGUGAGAGGGGGUAGGUGUGAGGGGGUAGGAGUGCAGGGGGGGUAGGGUGUGUGUGUGAAAGAGGGGGUAGGGGUGUGAGGGUGAGGAGUUUGUGUGUGAGGGUGAGAGGGGGUAGGUGUGUAGGGGGUGUUAGGGGUGUGAGGGUGAGGAGUUUGUGUGUGAGGGGGAGAGGGGGUAGAUGUGGGGGGGGUUAUGGGUGUGAGGGUGAGGGGUUUGUGUUUGUGGGGGGGAGAGGGUAGGUGUGUGGGGGGGUUAUGGGGGUGAGAGGUUUGUAUGUGAGGUCCAGUCCAAGCACCAACACCCAAGAGGGUGUAUCCUGUGGCCUCCCCUGCUCUCUCUGCCCACGUCUCCCCCGGCCCGCCUGUGGCUGUGCUGGACACAGCCCAUAACAAACCCCAUUGCACAAAGCUGCAGGUGCCCCCCAGAGCACGGGCGGCUGCCGGGCGGUUUGGCCCACGUGGGCGCUACCUGCCCUGCUUUGGAAGCUCCUGUGUUGGUGUCUGGCCGUGGUGCACCAGGCAGCUGUGCCAAUGCAGCGCGUGGGACCCUGUAACGUGCACAUUUACGCUGAGCUCCUGUGUCCCCCAGGCUCCCGUGGCAGAUGGGGUUUGCCGAGAGGAUGCCCUGGAGCCUCGCGCAGGCCGGGGCUCACGUUUAGCACUUCCAACCCCCAGUGCUUCUAAAGGGCUGGAAGACUCCCUGCGCCGCUCCUCUCUGGCAAGGAUCCGGAGUCAGAUAUCCCAGGUAAGGGUUUGGAUUGAUGCCGAGCAGACUCGGGCAAGGCAGCAGGUCCGCUGCCGGUUCAGAUCUCACCUCUGGGCUGGCUGGGGGCAGGGGAUCCAGUGAACUGGCUGGGGGGCAGGGCGGGGUUCCUAAAUGAGUUAGAUAUGUUCAUGGAGGAUAGGUCCAUCAAUGGCAGUUAGCCCGGAUGGGCAGGGACACAACCCUCUGCUCUGGGUGUCCCUAAACCUCUGACUGCCAGAAGCUGGGAGGGGACGACGGGAUGGAUCACGUGAUAAUCGCCCUAUUCUGUUCAUUCCUUAGGAAGCACCAGGCACUGGCCACUGCACCUGCUGGGCUAGAUGGACCAUAGGUCUGACCUGGUGUGGGGCAGUGGGAAUGUUGUGCUGUGUCUGUGAAUGCUGAGUGGGGAGUAUUGACCUGGGAAGGGUGCAGGGGAGUUUUGCUGGGACGGCCUUGAGGAAGGGAGGACACCUGAGCAUGUAACAGAGAACCCAGGAGUGGGGUUGGAGGCCAGGUAACACCUCUGCCUGGGAAACGACAAGAGACACAAAGGCUGGGGGAGGAGCCGAGGGGAGGCUGAGCGAGGGGCUGGAGAGAGUUUCAGUUUGGAGCUGGCUGGGAGAGGGGUGCCCUGACCUGGGGCUGUGGCCUCCCCGGGGCCCAAAGAUGAAGCGAACUAAAGGGGGUCUUGCUGUCUGUACCUGCAAGACCUGUCCUGGACUGUGUUCCUGUCGUCCAAAUAAACCUUCUGUGCUACUGGCUGGCUGAGAGUCAGGGUGAAUCGCAGGAAGUGGAGGCUGCAGGGCCCUGACUCCUCCACACUCCGUGAUAGUGUGUGUGUGUGUGGGGGGGUAGAGGUGUGGGGGGGUAGGGAUAGUGUGUGUGAGAGAGGGUGUAGGGGUGUAUGUGUGUGUGGGGGGGGUAGCGAUGUGAGGGUGAGGGGGGCUAGGUGUGAGGGUGAGAGGGGCUAGGUGUGAGGGGGUAGGAGUGCAGGGGGGGUAGGGUGUGUGUGUGAAAGAGGGGGUAGGGGUGUGAGGGUGAGGGGUGUGAGGGUGAGGGUGAGAGGGGGUAGGUGUGAGGGGGUAGGAGUGCAGGGGGGUAGGGUGUGUGUGUGAAAGAGGGGGUAGGGGUGUGAGGGUGAGGAGUUUGUGUGUGAGGGUGAGAGGGGGUAGGUGUGUAGGGGGUGUUAUGGGUGUGUGGGAGGGGUUUGUGUGUGAGGGGGAGAGGGGGUAGAUGUGGGGGGGGUUAUGGGUGUGAGGGUGAGGGGUUUGUGUUUGUGGGGGGGAGAGGGUAGGUGUGUGGGGGGGUUAUGGG
ensembl:lncRNA